GAGAGCCGUAUGCGGGAGAACCGCACGUACGGUUCGGAAGGAGGGGAGACUCCGCAAGGAGUCUUCCCUACCCUUAU
rfam:Lentisphaera araneosa HTCC2155 1101329224578, whole genome shotgun sequence.